rnacentral:lncRNA from 1 species
CUUCGUUUGUUGUUUGAUUGGAGCUGAUCAAAUACGUGUGAAAACCUGAGAGGCCCACAAUGGACCAUACGGAGAAAAAGCACACCACAGCUUCCAGCACACUUGCAGGACUGUCCUUCAGGGCAUUGAGGAACCCUGCUUGUUGAGAACGAAGAAUGACGUGGGUGAUAACGAAUGCAAAUAUAAAGACUGUCAGAAAGGACAGAGAUAAAAUAAACAUAUAAAAAAAUCUGUAGUUU